GUGAGGAAUAUUGGUCAAUGGGCGGGAGCCUGAACCAGCCAAGUCGCGUGAAGGAAGAAGGAUCUAUGGUUCGUAAACUUCUUUUGCAGGGGAAUAAAGUGCAGGACGUGUCCUGUUUUGUAUGUACCCUGAGAAUAAGGAUCGGCUAACUCCGUGUCAGCAGCCGCGGUAAUACGGAGGAUCCGAGCGUUAUCCGGAUUUAUUGGGUUUAAAGGGUGCGUAGGUGGUUUGAUAAGUCAGCGGUGAAAGUUUGCAGCUUAACUGUAAAAAUGCCGUUGAAACUGUCGGACUUGAGUGUAAAUGAGGUAGGCGGAAUGCGUGGUGUAGCGGUGAAAUGCAUAGAUAUCACGCAGAACUCCGAUUGCGAAGGCAGCUUACUAAGCUACAACUGACACUGAAGCACGAAAGCGUGGGGAUCAAACAGGAUUAGAUACCCGAGUAGUCC
rnacentral:rRNA from 1 species